GAGUACGGCCAUACCACCAUGAAUGCGGCUGAUCUUGUCUGAUCUCGGAAGCUAAGCAGGGUCGGGCCUGGUUAGUACUUGGAUGGGAGGAAUACUCU
rnacentral:rRNA from 1 species